rnacentral:lncRNA from 1 species
AUCUUGUCUCUCAAAGAACCCAUUCUUUGAGUUCUAUCUCUCGUUCAUUUGCUUUUAGGCAAAUCACAUUGUAUGAUUACAAUGAACUACCCAACAAAACAACAUUUGUUAGUUGGUUUAUAGAAGUGAUAUCCAAAAGUUAAUUUAAGGAUAUCCCACAAGAUUUGUUAUCAAACAAAUAUUGCUUAUUAGCACACAACCCCAAAUCUUAACAUGCUUAAGAUUUGUCUUUCUUUCCAACUACAUCUUAUGGAGUUAUGAAAAUUUUGGAAGAUCUUCUAAUUGACAAUCAUAUUGUUUUAGAAGUAUAUAUCCUAUAUAUGGGUAAUAGAUAACAUCUAACAAACUAAAUCUUAUUCGAGUUCGUUCUUCUCCUAA